rnacentral:lncRNA from 1 species
GCCCGGCUUCCGGGUAGUGGCAGGGGGGGGCGCGCGGCCCCUUGCGGGUCGGUGCCUCUGGGCCCAAGCCCCGAGCCUCCUACAGGGGCGGCCCCCUGCCUGAGGCGCGGGUGGGUUCCGACCUCCGAGAGCCGGUCUGGAAGCACUGAGGGGCCCCUACUUUUGCCCCCGAAGUCAGCGGGGCAACAGCCGCUCCCUUGCAGGAGCCGGGCCGUGGGCGGAGGGCCCCGGUGGGUGAGAUCGGUGACCCCCGAAAACUCCGACCAAAGAGCUGCAGCAAGAAAGGAGUUGGUUCCCACAAACCGCCCAGAGUCAAGUGAGAUGUUUCUAAGGCCCUCGUUUUCUCUGUGCAUGGGAACUAAAAUCAGUCUGAUGGCAGCUGCACAAGAUGGGAAGGAGUAAUCCUUGAAAUUAGACCAAGGAAGCACGUGAAGUGUGUUUGCUCUCAGCCACCAGCCUCAGAAGAGCUCAAGUCCAGGUAGGGUACAUUUUACCUGAGAUCUACUCUGGGGUGUCUUCCCUUGGUCACAGCCUGCUCCCAGGCACUCCUGGUGAGUUGGGUCUCUUUCCUACAUGUUGUGUAGCAUUAUUGUCCCAUAUUCACAGUGAGCUGUCAGAUUCCCAUGAGCAGAAGCCUGUUUCUGAAGCAUCCAAUCAGUCUAGAAAUAAUAGUCUAGUUAUCUGAUUUUUCACAGCUCUUUGCCUUUUCCUUGCACUGAGGAGUUAGGUAGCUAACUUUAUUCACAUCAAACAGCUAUGGAAGUUAAAGUUAUCUCAGAUUCGGAGCUAUAGACAUUACUUAAGAAGCGCUGUGGUUCUUUAAGUAUAUUCACGUCAUAAGCACUCAGCAAACCAGGUUAUUCAAGAAUCCUCUUAUCUCAGAAAGCUGAUUACAUUAUAUAAAUUAUCAAGGCAUUUAUUUCAAAGAUACUGAGAAAAAUCAGAGCAUUCUUGUCAGGUGUCUGUGGCACUUUGGCACUUGACCCCAACAUUCUUAAACAUCCUCUCAUCAAGAGCAAGAGUGCCCCACACGCUUCUCUGAACCAGGAUGAGCCAGUGACUGCUUUGACCAAUUAAGUAUGAUAGAAAGGUUGCUAUGUGACUUUUCAGGCUGGAUCUGAAAAAGCCAUGCCAGUUUUGCUUUCUUUUCUUUGGAUACUUGCUCUGAGAGAAGUCUGCUGCCACAUAGAGUGUAUCUCCCCUAAGAAAGUCAUGCUGGAAAGGCCUUCUGGUCACAGCCCUGCUCAGCUUCCAGCAACAGCCAGCAUCCACUGCCAGCCAUGUGGACAGGCCAUCUUGGGUGUCCCCAGAUGUGUUGACGACUCAGCUCAGUGGAGCCUUCAGAUUGUUGCAGUCUCCACCAACAUCUGACUGCAACCUCUUGAGAAAUGCCUUGUGACAGCAAAGCAGCCAAGCCCUUCCGUAACUCAUAACCCACAAAAUCAUUUAAAAAGAUCGUUUUUAACAAAUUGGUUUUCGGUUCAUACCACUAAAGUUUUAGGGCAAUUUGUUUUACAGUGCCAUUGGGAAAGAAGUUUCUCCCCUUUGACACACCUCCUCACCAUUCCAGCUGCUCACUUUCACUUCUGAGUGUUUGUGCUGUAGUUGCUUCAGUCCAUAUCUUCUUGGGUUUAUCUUUUCAUACUUUACACAUAUACACACACAGCCACAUAGGCACAGCCACCCACAUAGAAAAUUGAUCACUUGGCUCAGUUCUACUCCCCAGAUGACUUCAUUCAGACCUCAUUUUUCAGCUG